AUACGUAGGGGGCGAGCGUUGUCCGGAAUGAUUGGGCGUAAAGGGCGCGUAGGCGGCCCGGUAAGUCUGGAGUGAAAGUCCUGCUUUUAAGGUGGGAAUUGCUUUGGAUACUGUCGGGCUUGAGUGCAGGAGAGGUAAGUGGAAUUCCCCGUGUAGCGGUGAAAUGCGUAGAGAUUGGGAGGAACACCAGUGGCGAAGGCGACUUACUGGACUGUAACUGACGCUGAGGCGCGAAAGUGUGGGGAGCAAACAGGAUUAGAUACCCUGGUAGUCCACACUGUAAACGAUGAAUGCUAGGUGUAGGGGGUAUCGACCCCUUCUGUGCCGCAGUUAACACAAUAAGCAUUCCGCCUGGGGAGUACGGCCGCAAGGUUGAAACUCAAAUGAAUUGACGGGG
rnacentral:rRNA from 1 species